GACGAACGCUGGCGGCGUGCUUAACACAUGCAAGUCGAACGGAAAGGCCCUGCUUUUGUGGGGUGCUCGAGUGGCGAACGGGUGAGUAACACGUGAGUAACCUGCCCUUGACUUUGGGAUAACUUCAGGAAACUGGGGCUAAUACCGGAUAGGAGCUCCUGCUGCAUGGUGGGGGUUGGAAAGUUUCGGCGGUUGGGGAUGGACUCGCGGCUUAUCAGCUUGUUGGUGGGGUAGUGGCUUACCAAGGCUUUGACGGGUAGCCGGCCUGAGAGGGUGACCGGCCACAUUGGGACUGGGAUACGGCCCAGACUCCUACGGGAGGCAGCAGUGGGGAAUAGUGCACAAUGGGCGGAAGCGUGAUGCAGCAACGCCGCGUGCGGGAUGACGGCCUUCGGGUUGUAAACCGCUUUCGCCUGUGACGAAGCGUGAGUGACGGUAAUGGGUAAAGAAGCACCGGCUAACUACGU
rnacentral:rRNA from 1 species